rnacentral:rRNA from 1 species
UGGGGAAUAUUGCACAAUGGGCGCAAGCCUGAUGCAGCCAUGCCGCGUGUGUGAAGAAGGCCUUCGGGUUGUAAAGCACUUUCAGCGAGGAGGAAGGUGGUGAGCUUAAUACGCUCAUCAAUUGACGUUACUCGCAGAAGAAGCACCGGCUAACUCCGUGCCAGCAGCCGCGGUAAUACGGAGGGUGCAAGCGUUAAUCGGAAUUACUGGGCGUAAAGCGCACGCAGGCGGUUUGUUAAGUCAGAUGUGAAAUCCCCGGGCUCAACCUGGGAACUGCAUUUGAAACUGGCAAGCUAGAGUCUCGUAGAGGGGGGUAGAAUUCCAGGUGUAGCGGUGAAAUGCGUAGAGAUCUGGAGGAAUACCGGUGGCGAAGGCGGCCCCCUGGACGAAGACUGACACUCAGGUGCGAAAAGCGUGGGGCAGCAAACAGGAUUAGAUACCCUGGUAGUCCACGCUGUAAAACGAUGUCGAUUUUGGAGGUUGUGCCCUUGAGGCGUGGCUUCCGGAGCUAACGCGUU